rnacentral:rRNA from 1 species
GAGAAAGAGAAUAAGAGCGAACGGAGGAUGCCUAGGCUUCUGAAGGCGAGGAAGGACGUGGUAAGCUGCGAAAAGCUCCGGGGAUCUGCAAACAGGAAUUGAUCCGGAGAUGUCCGAAUGGGGGAACCCCCAUGGUUGAAGACCAUGGACCAGCAUUUGCUGGGGCAAACGCAGGGAACUGAAACAUCUUAGUACCUGCAGGAAGAGAAAGAAACAUCGAUUCCCUUAGUAGUGGCGAUCGAACGGGGAAGAGCCUAAACCGG